rnacentral:rRNA from 1 species
CUACGUAGGUGACAAGCGUUAUCCGGAUUUACUGGGCGUAAAGGGCGUGUAGGCGGUCUUGCAAGUCAGAAGUGAAAUUCCUGAGCUCGACUCGGGCGCUGCUUCUGAAACUGCAGGACUUGAGUGCUGGAGGGGAUAGCGGAAUUCCUAGUGGAGCGGUAAAAUGCGCAGAUAUUAGGAAGAACACCGGUGGCGAAGGCGGCUAUCUGGACAGUAACUGACGCUGAGGCGCGAAAGUGUGGGGAGCAAACAGGAUUAGAUACCCUGGUAGUCCACACUGUAAACGAUGAAUGCUAGGUGUAGGGGGUAUCGACCCCUUCUGUGCCGCAGUCAACACAAUAAGCAUUCCGCCUGGGGAGUACGGCCGCAAGGUUGAAACUCAAAGGAAUUGACGGGG